rnacentral:misc_RNA from 1 species
UGCCAUUGCAUAUGUGAGGCCCUUGUAAAAAAAAAACAGCAUAUUCUUGCUUGCUCAAAACAUGCUCUUCAUACAUCAACCAUAGUUGGAAGGUAAAUACUCCUGGAACCUUUCAAAGAGUUCAAAAGGCAACUCGAAGUAUUUAUAUGUGAUGGCUUGGGGAGCGACCAAUGAGUCUGCACUGUUCUGGCAGCAAAUAAGAGAUUACUUGCCCAUUAAGAGGAAAAAGCUCACCAUCAAUGCCGCAACCAUUGUGAGUGUGCUUCCCAGACUUUAUCUUGACAGAUUUCACCUUGAUGUAUUCAACAUAUGGCAGGGAAAGAUGUCGACCCAUCUGCAAAAGUAAGAAAAAUCUCAAUAGCCUUAGUCGCCCACUACCAUGAACUAAGAGCAUAUCCAUGGUGUUAUCAUCAUGCUCAGCCCUUGGUGCUACCACCUGGGAACUCUGAACAGUUCUGCAAGCAUGGUUACAGAUCAGUAUGCCAAGAAAUUGCCCCUUCUUCAAUUCCCAUUUAUCUUCAAACCUGGGUACAACUUCCUUUUUUAUUCCUGCUUCUACAUCAUCUGAUGGCCCUGGCAAUUCAAUAGGGUUUUCUAAAUCCCAAUUAGGCUCACUAUCCCAUUUUGGUUCAGCAUCCCAAAUUGGACCUGGAUCAGACAAUGUUGAAGAUAUAUCCUCUCUAUCAUUUGUUGCCGCAUUACCCCAAGAACAUCGAGAGGGAUCAUGAGUAGAGGUCAAUCCAGUCCAUCCUUUAUCUGUCCUUGACUUUGACCUUGUCCUGG